GCGAAAGGCUGAUCGUUGUAGUACUUUGUAAUUAAAGUGUACAUAGCGUAUUUACUGUAGAAUUAUUCCGGCUAAUGUUCUGUAAUUUAGAAAGUCUUGUAGAUGAACUGAAAUAUUAGAAAUGUUUAAAAAGUUUGAAGAAAAGGAGAGCGUCUCAGGUGUGCAGCAGUUGAAGUCUUCUGUUCAAAAAGGGAUCCGCACAAAGCUUCUGGAACAGUAUCCAUAUUUGGAAAGUUACGUGGACAGUAUUCUUCCAAAAAAGGACACAUAUCGUAUAGUUAAGUGUCAUGACCAUAUAGAAAUCCUAGUAAACAGCAGUGGUGAACUCCUUUUCUUCUGGCAUAGAGAAAGACUAUGGAUCCCUACAUUACGUCUCUUGCAUAAAUAUCCGUUCUUCCUCCCAUGGGAGCAGGUGGAUAAAGGAGCCAUUCGUUUUGUUCUCAGUGGUGCCAACAUCAUGUGUCCAGGUCUUACAUCACCUGGAGCUAAGAUGACACCUGUUCCUAAAGGGACAGUGGUUGCAGUUAUGGCAGAAGGAAAGCAACAUGCAUUAGCAGUUGGGAUGACUGCUCUGUCAACAGAAGAAAUGUGGAUAGUACCGUCUACUGGGAGGCGAUCUGUGUGCUGCAUGGUAAUACUGUGACCUAGUGUACUGGUAUGGAGAAGUUGGAUAUGGAUUGUGUGAUGUUGCAGCUGAGCUUGCACCAGGAACAUGGGGGCUCAGCUGUACUGUCCAAGGAGGUGCAGAUGUAUUGUCAGGAACAGGAGCUGGCACAGUUACAGAGUGCCUAUAAGAGAAGUGAAUUCAGAUGCAGAGUCAGUUUGGGGCAGUUACGAGGGAAUAAUAGCAGCAGAAGCACGCAAAGAAGCAAGCAGGAAGAGAGCAAAUUGGAACUAGGAGUACAGAAGAGUACAAGAGGUCAGCAUUUAAGGAUUUAACAUGUGAUGUGAAGACCUUAUGUGUGCUAUAGUGCAGUGGUAUUGGGAGUGCAUGGUUUAGGGAGAUUUUUAUAGUUCCUGCAUAAGACUAGUGGAGAUAGACUGAAGAGAAUAGUGUGGAAUGAUUGUAAAUUGUGUAAAUCAGCAAUCGUGUUAUAAUUAAUUGUAGUUGUGACCUGUAGGCUAUUAAAAAUCCAAUUACCAACCCAAACCCGUGUAUUAGUCACGGAUACACAAGACAAAAUAAUUAACUGAAACAUAAAAAUGGAAUUCAUAAACGGCUAAAACAAACGGUUUUUAAGUUAAACAGAUUAAGUAAUCAGAAUUACUGGGUUUUUGGACUUUUCCAUCAUCCAGUAUUC